UUUUUUUUUUGCCCUACCCAAUAAUGAUAAUAUGUUGAAAAUUAAUGUGCAUAUGGAUAAGGCCUCCAUAAUUGGAGACGCUGUGCUAUAUGUUGACUUAUUGUAAAAUCUAUUUAUUAAUGAAAUGAAGAAGAAAACUAGUUGCAGAUCUUUGGCAAAAACUCUCUCUAUUCUUGGAAAAACACCCAUAAAUGGUAUCAAAGCAUGAAAAGCUCUGAGGGACUGUGAACCAAAGAGAAAACAAGGUAGGUAACCUCCACUCAAAACCUUUCCACCGUUACAAAUCUGACAUUUACGUGUGGGUUAUUUUAUUCACUAGCUUUUCAAUUUCAUUUAUUGGAAAUCUUAGAAUGAAUAUUUUGUGGAAAGUAUCUCAAUCUAUAUUUUAUAUUUUUUUGCGAAUAGAAAAAAUGGUCAUGAAGUUGAAAUAGUUAUCACCAUUAUAAUUAAUUCAUAAUUAUUAUAUUUAUUUAUAUAUAAAAUGAUUAAAAUUAAUACUUGACAUCUACGUUUAGGAAAAUGUUUCUUAUAUGC
rnacentral:misc_RNA from 1 species